CCUGCUCCUUGGAGGCAGAGGGGGACGAAAGGGAGGGGAAUGGCUGGAUGCACAGGGGCUUGAGCAGGGCUCGUGUGCCCUUCCUUAGGCAAAGAAGAAUGCAAAGAAAGAAAGAAGCAUAAUUCAACAUCCUGCUUGCCAUCAGACACGUUUGAGGAGGACAUUUCUUCAAAAGGAAGAACAUCACCACAUCUACCCAACAGUGCUAGCGGGGGAAAAGAGUGGAUGGCUUGUGUACAUGCAGGCAUGAACAUGCAGAGUGAGACAGGGCGUAUCUCCUAUUACUCCAAAGGCAGU